CUUUUUUAUUUUUAGAAAAAUUUAGUUUAAUUCUAACUAUUUAAAAUAGCUAAAAAAUGUUUUUACAUGUGAGUUUUUGUGAGGUAAAAUAUUAUUCUUAAUGGAUUUUUUUAUAUUUAUUCGCAGUUAAAAAAUUUAUUAAAAUAAAGUGUUUUAGUAUUAGUUAAUUUUGGUAGAAUAGUUAAAAAUUGUGCCAGCAAACGCGGUUAUACAAUUUAUUCUAGUUAUUUUUUUUAAAAAAUAUUUAAUUAAUUGUUUGGAAUUUAUUAUAAUUAUUAUUAAGUGAAAUUUUAAUUUUAUAUUAAAUUUUUGGUUUAAUAUUAAAUAUGAAACUCAUAUUUUAAACUAGGAUUAGAUACCCUAUUAUUUUGAGCUUAAACUUUAAAUUUUUGGUAUUAAUAGUUAUGAUCUUUAAAUUAAAAGAUUUUGGCGGUAAUUUAAUCUAUUUAGAGGAACCUGUUCUUUAAUCGAUAAUCCACGUUGGAUUUAACUUUAAUUUAAUUUGUAUAUCUCUGUCAUCAGAAUGUUUUAUUAGAAUUAAAUUUUCUUUAAUUAUUAUUAUAAAUAAUGUCCGGUCAAGGUGCAGUUAUAUUAAAGGUUGAAAUGGGUUACAUUUAAUGUUAUUUAUUAGAUUCUUAUUAUUAAAUAUUUUAUAUUAAAAAGGAUUUAAAAGUAAAUUAUAGUAUCUACUAUUUUUGAUUUAAGCACUAAAUUAUGUACAUAUCGCCCGUCACUCUCAUUAAAUUGAGAUAAGUCGUAACAAAGUAAUUCUAUUGGAAAGUGGGGUUGGAUUAUUA
rnacentral:ncRNA from 1 species